CAGGUGGCCAUCCACCAAUUUUGCUGCAAUGGUUUGGUCACCCAUCAGAGAAGGUGGACAUGCCCCUCUUGGGGAUGUGGCACCUGUGGACCCACAUGUACUUUUAGCUGAACUUCCUGGCUCAAGUCCCAAGGGGCUCCCUCAACCCCCAGGCUGGUCAAGAGGCUAAGCCUGGAGCCUCAUUCUCCCUGACCAUGCAAACACAGUGACAGCAUAUCCAGCCCUUGCCCUUUCCCCAGUUUCUUGCUUUCUGUUCAAGACAACUGAAGAAGCAGGGGCGGGGAACAGGGGACAUCACUUGGGAAGAAGACUUUCUUCUUUCAGAGUUGAUUGCCUCUAAGAUUUAGCAGGAUUAACUCUUCAGCCUCUCCAUAAACACCAGACUACCCCAUGGCCACCCUCCCUUCCAGUCUGUGCAGUCAGCACAGAUUGAGGGUGAUCCCAGGCCCACAAGCCUGUUUUCACAUGUCUGUGCCAUUUUACCUCCUGCUGUUUUCUGCUUCUCAUUAUCUCUGCAGAGCUGAUGACACUUAAGACAUUUAAUCUCCCUGGAGGCUUUCUCUGGCACUUUAAGUCUGAUUUAUACAAUAGAUCCUGAUGUCCUGUUCACUCAAUCUCACCUCUGGCUUGUUAACACCCCGGCUGGCCAAGGACCCUUCCCUGCCUGCCAGCAGAUCUGAACUAGGCUGAACCUCUGCACUCACCAGAGUUAAAGCUUUGGCAACUUUCUCCUUCUACCCCUUAUCCUCUUAUUCAUCAAUGGUCCUUUAUCACAACAGCCUCUUCCCACAGGGGUCCCAUGUCCACAGACCCAGAUCUGCCCCUGCAGCUGCCAAGGAAAUUCCAGGAGCUAGAGCAGGCUUUCUUCUAACUGGAUGCCAUCCAGAGCCUCCACUGAGGUCCAGAGAAGGGAGCAGGAGGUGCUCCAAGUGAGUGGGAGAAGGGACACAGAGACCACGGCUCAGGGAGUUAAGGUGGCACUGCAAGAACCCAGUACCUGUGGGUGGUGGGGUGAGAGGUAUCA
rnacentral:lncRNA from 1 species